CUAGUUACAAAAUUUAUUUUUUAAAAACAUUUUUUUUUUUUUGCUCUUAUGUGAUUGCUAUUAUCCUGGACAUAGCUAUAUUUAUUUGUAUAUACUCGGGGGACUGGGACAGCGACGCCCGCUGAGGCAGCGCUGCUGCGGCCAAGUCACGCGGAUUUCAAUAUGACCCAAAGCCCGCUGUCUAGCACAGUUCUAAGCACGUGUUGCGGACACACCGGGCACACACACAUCCGCAAAUCAAUUGAGAGAGAGCGAAAGAGAGAAAGAGAGUGCACGUUGAACGACAAGCGCACUCAAAGAUACAAAUACACGUACCGAUAGGGUGACAAAUAGAGAUACGAAUGCAACUGAAAAGUUUCCAGUCGAUUCGCAAUAGAGCGCUAUGUCUGUCCCCCGUGUAACGGGUGUACCUAUGGCCACUAGACCAUACACAUCAGCUGGAGUGCGUGGCCGAUUGGCCACUUGCCGUGCCAAUAUUCGGUUAAUUCGGCACUGGUGCGUCUGCAACACGUGACGUAUGCGUAAUGUGCUUCAAGGGAUUGCCUCUGUGCCACCAACUAUUUACCGCUGCGUCAUUCCCAAAACCCAGUCAACCCUGAAAACCCAUCAAUUGGCAUAACCAUGGACCAUGUGCUGGAGCGAACUUCAGUCACCUGUUUUACCCAGGCGGGUCAAUUCAGGGAAUAUCGAGUAUACGCCCCGUGCAGCCAGUGACUAUUUUUGGAACCGCGAAAGCAACAAGUCAUCUGAAGCUUCGGGAAAUGGAAAAAACGAAGUUGCCGUCGGGAUCCAAUAACAGAAGGAUGUGCGGCAGAGCCUCGCUAUUGGCCAGGCCUAUAUGCCAGUGAAGCCGAGAAUAGGGAACCAAUCCGGGAAAAUCUGCCAACGUCAACAUGGGCAGAGAACGGCGUCGACCGCGACGACAGCAGAGGCAGCGACAGCGGCGUUGUCAG